CGGGGCGCGUCCGAAAGGCUCGUCCUGUCCCGGGGCGGCGGGAAGGCGAGAGGCGGUAGAGACUGUGCUUGGCACCGACCACUUAGAGUAGUACAGGGGCGGGGAGGGCAGCAGAAAUCAGUCCUCUUGGUUAGUUCCCCGCAUGGGACCACGUGAUUGGAGAGGUCCCGCCCUCCUCCGCCGGAACCAGGUGUUCGAAUCCCGUCUCCAGAACUAGCGGCAUUUCAGUCCUGCCGGCGUGAGGGCUGGGGCUCACGCCCUGGGGCUCAUGGCAGCGCCGGUCCGCCUGGGCCGGAAACGACCGCUGCCCGUUUGCGCCAACCCGCUCUUCGUACGCUGGCUGACCGAGUGGCGGGACGAGGCAGCCAGCAGAGGGCGCCGCACGCAAUUCGUGUUUCAGAAGGCACUGCGCUCCCUACGGCGGUACCCACUGCCCCUGCACAGCGGCAAGGAAGCUAAGAUCCUACAGCACUUCGGAGACGGGCUCUGCCGGAUGCUGGACCGGCGGCUGCAGCAGCACAAGGCAUCAGGUGACCACGCCCCAUGUUCACCACCUGGAGCGAAGAGUCCAGCCCGGGAAAGGCCUGCCAAAGUCCAGGAUCCUUGCAUGCCAGGUCCAACCCAGCUCAAAGCAGGAGGCUCUGGCAAGUAUUGGCCAGCUCGGCACUCGGGAGCUCGAGCAGUACUGCUGCUGCUGUACCGGGAACACCUGAAUCCUAAUAGCCACGGCUUCCUAACCAAGGAUGAGCUGCUGCAGAGGUGUGCCCAGAAGGCUCCAAGGGUGGCCCCUGGAAGUGCUCGGCCCUGGCCAGCCCUCCGCUCCCUCCUCCACAGGAAUCUCAUCCUCAGGACGCAGCAGCCAGCUAGGUACUCACUGACCCCAGAGGGUCUGGAGCUGGCCCAGAAGCUGGCUGAGUCGGAGGGCCUGAGCUUGCUGAGUGUGGGCAGCGGGCCAGAGGAGCCCCCUGGGGAGGAGCCUGCGGUGCCAGGAGCGGCCUCAGCUGAGCUUAGUGGCGCCAGCGAAGGGAACGUCCAACAGCCACCGCUGGAGCUGGGGCCUGGAGAGUACAGGGUGCUGUUGUGCGUGGACGUUGGCGAGACCAAGGGGGCGGGAUCCAGGCCAGAGCUGCUCCGAGAGCUGCAGCGGCUGCACGUGACCCACACGGUGCGCAAGCUGCACGUCGGGGACUUCGUGUGGGUGGCCCAAGAGACCAGUCCCAGAGACCCGGCACGACCUAGAGAACUAGUCCUGGACCAAAUCGUGGAAAGAAAGCGGCUGGAUGACCUGUGCAGCAGCAUCAUCGAUGGCCGCUUCCGGGAGCAAAAGUUCCGGCUGAAGCGCUGCGGCCUGGGCCGUCGAGUAUACCUGGUGGAAGAGCAUGGCUCAGUGCGUAACCUCAGCCUUCCCGAGGGCACGCUGCUGCAGGCUGUCACCAACACUCAGGUCAUCGAUGGCUUCUUUGUGAAACGCACAGCAGAUAUUAAGGAGUCAGCAGCCUACCUGGCCCUGUUGACAAGGGGCCUGCAGAGACUCUACCAGGGCCACACCCUCCACAGUCGCCCCUGGGGAACCCAAGGGGACCCUGAAUCAAGGGCUGGGCCCUCCCCAAACCCUCUCUGCUCACUCCUCACCUUCAACGACUUCAACGCCGGAGCCAUCAAGAACAAGGCCCAGUCUGUGCGGGAGGUGUUUGCCAGGCAGCUGAUGCAGGUGCGCGGAGUGAGCGGGGAGAAGGCGGCAGCCCUGGUAGAUCAGUACAGCACCCCUGCCAGUUCACAACUUGAAGGUUCGUAUGGAGGGGACUUCCUGUACCUGGUGCAGCAGAGAAGGCUUCCUGGAGGAGUGGGCGGGCCAUGAAGACUGGGCCAAGAACAGCCAUACUUGGGAAACAUUUGCAGAAGCAUGAAAGGAGGGUGAGCAGGAUGGAGCAGGGCCUUGAAUGCCAGGUUCAGGAAGUGCGGCCAUGGUCCUGACUCCUCUAACCCAUGCCAACCUCUUCCGGCCCGCCUCCCGUGACACUGGCCUGAGCCACUCGGGAUGGGCCAGCAGUCAGCCAUUGCCAAAACUUAGAAACUCAUACUCCCCACCCCACCCUCAGCCUGUUGGCCGCCUAUGACGCCUGUGCCACGCCGAAGGAAAAGGAAAUGCUGCUGAGCACCAUCAAGUGCGGACCCCUGCAGAGGAAUCUGGGGCCAGCUCUGAGCAGGACCUUGUCACAGCUUUACUGCAGCCACGGCCCCCUGACCUGAGCUAUGCCACAAGACAGAACCCCGCCCCCAUCUUCCCAGGCUACGCAGCCUUUUAACCGGGAUCUUUGGGCUACAAUAAAAAUCUUAAGUGUUUGCA